UACAGAGGUCUCAAGCGUUGUUCGGAUUCAUUGGGCGUAAAGGGUGCGUAGGCGGCGCGGUAAGUCGGGUGUGAAAUCUCGGAGCUUAACUCCGAAACUGCAUUUGAUACUGCCGUGCUUGAGGACUGGAGAGGAGACUGGAAUUUACGGUGUAGCGGUGAAAAUGCGUAGAUAUCGUAAGGAAGACCAGUGGCGAAGGCGGGUCUCUGGACAGUUCCUGACGCUGAGGCACGAAGGCCAGGGGGAGCAAAACGGGG
rnacentral:rRNA from 1 species